AAGGUAUACAAAGUUCUAGUCAACCUCCCUGAUGGACGAAGUUACUUCAUAUUCCGCAGAUACAAUGAAUUCUACAAUCUGUAUGAAAAGAUCAAGAAAGUUUAUCCUGAAUUAAACAUCAAGUUGCCAGGCAAACGACGACUGGGAAAUAACUUUGACCCUGAGUUCAUUAAAAUGAGAAGAGAGGGACUUAAUGAGUUUACAAGCAAGAUAAUCAGCCAUUCCAAUGCAAUUGAACA